GGGAAGCAGGAGCAGUGGAAGCAUCUUUCUCACUGAUGAUACUUUCUGCCUGUAGCCUUGUAGUCCUGGUACUACUGCUUGUGAACUGUGUGUCCUGCUGUAAAGAUCAAGAGAUAAACUUCAAGGAAUUUGAAGACAAUUUUGAUGAUGAAAUAGACUUUACACCACCUGCAGAAGAUACCCCAUCUGUUCAGUCUCCAGCAGAAGUGUUCACGCUUACGGUCCCCAGUGUUUCUUUGCCAGCGGCAUCACAGUUCCAACUUCCUACAGAAGGAUUGAAAUCUCAAGUGGCUCGUCAGAAUCUCAGCUAUAUCCAAGAAAUUGGAAACGGCUGGUUUGGAAAGGUUCUGCUCGGGGAGGUGUACACAGGCACCAGUGUGGCAAGAGUGGUUGUGAAAGAGUUAAAAACAAGUGCCAGCCUCAAGGAACAGGAAUGGUUUUUGAGGCACGGAGAGCCCUAUUUAAUUCUUCAGCAUCCAAAUGUCCUCCAAUGUACUGGACAGUGUGUGGAAGCCAUUCCCUUUCUUUUGGUAUUUGAAUUUUGUGACUUGGGUGACCUAAAAACAUAUCUUUGCAACGAGCAGGAGAACAUUAAAGGAGAGUCUCAAGUCAUGCUGCUGCAGCGGAUGGCGUGCGAGAUUGCUGCUGGACUCGCUGUAAUGCAUAAGCACAAUUUCGUGCAUGGUGACUUAGCCUUAAGGAACUGUUUCCUUACAUCAGAUCUGAAUGUAAAAAUUGGAGACUAUGGAAUAGGUUUCAGUAGGUACAAGGACGAUUAUAUUGAAACAGAUGAGAAGAAGCUUGUGCCUCUCCGAUGGACUGCACCGGAGCUGGUGACCAGCUUCCAGGACAGGCUGUUAACAGCUGAGCAAACAAAGAACAGUAACAUCUGGUCACUGGGCGUAACACUAUGGGAGCUUUUCAGCGGUGCUGCAAAGCCUUACUCUGACUUAUCUGAUGAUGAGGUCCUGGCGCAGGUCAUAAAAGAAAAACGGACCAAACUCUUGGAACCCUGUCUUGAGCAGCCAUGUUCUGAUAGAUGGUAUGAAGUUCUACAGUUCUGUUGGCUGUCUCCAGACAAGAGAGCAACAGCGGAAGAAGUACACAAACUUCUAACAUACCUCUAUAUGCAAAGUCAAAGGGAUUCAGUGAUUGAUCCUGAACAGUGGAAUGAUCUCAAGCCCAAUACUUCCAACAGAGAACUCUUCAGCGACUCCGCCUUUCCAAUUCUGGAUCAUUUCACAGGCAGCAGGUUUGGCCGUGAGCUGGAGGAAGUCCUCACAGUAACCGAAACAAGCAGAGGGCUCAACUUUGAGUACAUCUGGGAGGCAGCCAAGCACGACCACUUCGAGUGCAGCCAGGCAAAUCCUGAUGAAGGCAUGACUUACACCAGUAUCUUCUUUCCAAUGGAGGUUUUUGAAAAUACACUUUCAGAGCAAGGGCCUGGAGCUCCUGCUGAAAGUGGACAGGAAUUUUCAAUUUGUGUGCCUGGGCAACUUCCUGUGUUCAAUGCCCACAAACCUUCCGUUGGAAAUGAUUAUUACAUCCAGUUAGAGGAGAAGAGCAGAGGUAGCAGUGUAAACUUAGAUAGCCAGGCUGCUGUAUUGACCACAGAAGUAGACUGCUGUGAAGUUCUGCAAGACAAGAACUCUCACUUCUUGGUUCUUAGCGACUUUGCUGCUGAAUCUUCUACAGAUGGGGACUCGUCCUGUUACAAUACAGAACCCAAAGAAGAGGACUUGCGUGUUAAUAGCCCCGACAGCCCUUUCGAAAAUAUAUUUAGUGAUGCCGCAAAGACAGAACACUUGACAAAUACGAGAAAUAGGUUUGAAGUAGCUGAUAUAAUUGAUAUUCAUGUGGAGCUUGAAGCUGCUUCCUGUGCAGAUCUAGAGGAAUCUGUCGUUGAUCAGGCCAAGAAGGGAAGUUCUAGCCACAGCCCUGAACAUGGAACUAUUUAUUUGCACAAUGAUACCACACAGCAGUCUGAUCCUGGCCUUCUGACUUCGGAAGAACUGUGUGAUAACUUUCUUUUUCUUCAAGAGAACAAACUAUUAAAGGAUACCCUGUGUAACAAGGCUGCUGCUGGUGAGCUCGGUGGAGCACCUGACAGCAACACUUUAAAAUCACUAAAUAUGGACCUUCUGGGCAUUGAACAUAAAACAACUGGGGAUACUCCAGUUCAUAAAGAUGAGCAUGUUCAAAUGGGUACAAAUAGCACAAGUAUUCUGGCUCCGGACUUUGCACAGAGUCCAAGCCCAUCUAGGUCACCCGUGAUGGAUAAGCAACCUGUAUCCCCCCUGUUAAGAGCUGAGAGAAACCUUUUCAAAGUAGGAGUUGAUGAUUACUCUGCUGGUAGUAUUCCUUACUCUUACUGUGAAAAAGAUCAAGCCCCUGAAGCCACCGUGACUGAAACACUUUCCUUGAAUGCCAAAAAUGAAGCUGAUGGGACCAGUCCCUGUCAUAGCAUUGCCCUCCAUGCUCAAGAGGGAGAAAUACAGUCAAAAGCUAAGGGACUUAAAUACAAUAGCAGUAGUUGUGUGGAGCUGGUCCAGGACUUAGAGAAUAAGCCAUCGGAAUUAGAACAAGAUGGUGCCUGUCCCCUGGACCAAAUGGAUGAAACAUCAGUGCAGCUUCAAGAAAGUAACACAGAGACUCCCAUCAAAGGCAUUGCUCUUCCAACUGUUCUUCCUUCAGAUUGUUCAAGUCAUGACAGUCUGCUUGAAGACAGUUUGUCAACUCCAAUGCAGAGCAUGGGGCAGUCUGUAAAUACACCAGACUCAUUAGAUUCCUUAGAUGUUAAUGAGGUCUUAGAGUCUUUAGUGGGCCAGAGUCCCCAGAAACCUUUGCCACCUGAUAAACCUGCAGAUAGCGGCUACGAAACAGAAAAUCUUGAAUCUCCAGAAUGGACAUCACACCUUCUGGGCAGCAACUCCAAUGAAGACUCUGUUUUGUCUAAUGCUGGUGAUGAUAAUCUCUUGCACGAUAAUCCUGCAAUCAUUGUGUCAUCAGAUAUAAAGACUGAGUUGGAGGCAGCAAAUAUCAUAGAUGGAUUUGAAGCUGUCUCUAAGGCUACUUUUGGUGGCAUCCAGAAUUCAUACAGGGAUUCUGCCUAUUUUUCUGAUAAUGAUUCUGAGCUAGACAAGAAAUCUGAGGUGACCAACACAUCGGUGGAGCCACGAGAAAUAAGAGAGGAUGGCACUUGUAGUGACUACUUUGAAAUGGAAAAGAAUCGGAAUACAGAAAAUCAGCCAAAUGGCAACCAAGUAGCGGAUGAACAUUUUGCUAAUAACUUGUCUCCAUGGAUAGAAUUGGAUGAGAGGCUAGAGGGACACCAACCAGGUGAGAUGAAGCAGGACUGUCCUCAUAAGGAUGGCGACGCAAUUUUAGUGCUACCCAUGGUUGAUCCAGAGUUUGUUGAUGAAGAUGACAUUGAAAUAUAUGAGUUCCCCAGAAGUGUGUCUUGUACAGGUACCAGUACAGCAGACUUCCUUCCUGAGAAGGAGUUAAAGCUCAUGUCUAAUUUGUAUGGUCCUGCAGAAGUUUUUGAGAAGUCCUUACUGUGCCACCUGGACAGUCAUAAGUUGAAAGAGCCAGACGUUGAAGGUAAAUACCUUGGUAAGCUUGAUGUGGCUGGCAUGCUCGAUCUGUCAUUGGAUGGAGAAGAUGCUGAUGAAGAAGAUGAGAACAGCGAUGAUUCUGAGGAUGAUAUGAGAACUUUCCAUCUUCAUGGGCUUAGCUCUGACAGUGAUGAGGAGAUUGCGCAUCAGGUACCCAUCAUUCUUACUGACAAGGAUGAUGGCAAACAUCUAAGAAGCUUGCUGAAACACCCAAGGCAACUGGGGCAGAACAACCCUCCGGAAAGCUCUCUGAAGAAUGAGAGAAAAGCUGUAACGUUCUUUGAUGACGUCACUGUCUAUCUGUUCGAUCAGGAAACACCAACCAAAGAGCUUGGAAAUCGUUCUUCUGAAUCAAAUCAUUCAGCUUCUAACAACACUCCUGACUCUGCUUCAGGCCUUGGUUACUUGAAUAAAUUUACGAAUUCGGAAAGCUCUACUGACGAAGAAGGUGGAGGUUUUGAAUGGGAUGAUGACUUCUCUUCUCCAGAGCCCUCUUUUAUAUCAAAGGCAGCAAAUACUCUCAUCAGUUCCAAGCCUUCUCUUCAGACCUCAAAAUACUUCUCUCCGCCGCCACCGCCUCGAAGCCCUGAACAAAACUGGUCACAUCCUUUACCUUACUCCAGAUUCUCCAUCUCGCCAGCAAACAUAGCAAGUUUCUCUCUCACUCAUCUUACGGAUUCUGAUAUUGAACAAGGAGAUGCGCCUUGAAAUUAACGGAAGUGAUGCAAACAGUGUCCUGAGGAGGUGCUUUUUCCCUGGAAGUUUUCCCACUCCUCCAAAAUUGGAAGCCUCCAAGUAAACAAGUUCACCCCGGGAGCAGUGAAGAUGGAGAGAAAGAUUAAGCAUUGGAAGCUUCGCUCAGUGCACUGCCAUGCCUGUGGGGAACACCGCCACUCCUCUGCAAGAGCCCCCUUUUAAAAAACAGACCAACAAACGGAAUGCAUCUGAAAACAGUGCCCAUGCGCUGAAGUCCAAUAGUCAAGCAGUCGAUGGACUCUGAAGGCAGCAUUGGAUCAGGGCGUGAACUGGAAGGUGGAUGUGACCACUUAAAAGUGCACUGUUCUUUGGAAACUGGUGCAUUUUGCAUUUCCUUUCAAAAUGACUCCGUGCUGGCUUUCCUCUUCUCCCCCCUCAUCGUCCUGUACUUGAAGAAUCCUUCGGGUAAUUUGUAACAUUCUGUAAAAUCGUCAUGUUCUGGUUUCUAUAUAGGAUUGUAUCAUACCCUUUUGUAUUCAUGUAUUAUCUCUAUAAGGACACGUACAAUUGCACAGAGCCGGCUGCCCCUUGACAGGAUCUGGCUGAGAGCUGUCACGUAGUAAGCCAUACUUCGGGGGCUUCGUGCAUUGCUUGGCUGCACAUGCGCUACUGACUCUCCUUCCCAGCCCCCCCUCCCCCCGCCAUACAAAGGCACCCUUCUUUGCUCCCUGGUUGAGAGAAGUUGUUGCUUCGGCCUGUUGGACCGGUUCGCUGUGUUCUCUGAUGUCCCUUUGCGUGCAAAGCACUUGUCAGAAUGCACAGAGCUCUUCUCUUCUCUUCUCUUCUCUUCUCUUCUCUUCUCUUCUCUUCUCAAGUAAUAAUUUCUGGAUUUUUUUGUGCUGUUCACAUUUCUUGAGGGUCAAUUCAGUUUUUAUUCUAAAUAUUGUGUGUGUGUGUGUGUGUGUACAUGUGCAUACACACCCAUUUGCAGUAAAGGGGUUGACAAAUCAGCCUUUAUUUAUAGUUGGCUGGAAAUGGUGGUCAUGGGUGUUGGUAUCAUAGGAAUUUUUUUUCAAGGGAUGUCUGGAGUCUGUGUGUGAGAGAGUGAGUGAGCGAGCGAGCGAGAGUUUGUCAGCUGUGCUCUUAGUUACUGGGUAACUUCUAGCAUUGCUCCUCAUCUUCAGGGAUCCGUCAGCACUUCUGCUGGAAGACUCUAAUAGGGGGUGUGUUGACUCAUGCGGUCGCUGUUAACCUUUCUUUUGCAGUCAGGCAUCUAUAAAGAAGGAGCUUUGAUAAAAGUAGGUUCACGGGGAGUCUGCCUGGGAUUCUCUGGUUCUCACAUGUGGCACAAACAGGCUUUGACACGGAUUGGAUCUUCUGUGCUUCCUGUGCACAGAAUAUCCUGGCGAGCCGCCUUCCCCAGCCCCGGCGUCCUUUAGAUGUGUCGGACUGCAGCCCACAUCCUUCUCUUGGGGUUGAUGGGUGUGGUAGCCCAAGACUUCUGGCGGGUGCCAGGUUGGGGAAGGCUGCACGCCUGAAGUUCCUCCAUGCAUACAUGCACUUAUGGGUGCACACGUUUCCUGGUGGAGUGGCCCUCAAAUGGUUCCGUUUCCUGAAGGAGGCUACCAGAAAUUUAAGGGUGAAUGGCAGUUGGGUAGAAUCGGAUCUUUCACAGCCUUUUAAAAAGGCCUUUCCAGAGUCCUGAUGGAAUGAUGGAGCCCUGUUUGGACUAGUGCAUAAAAUAGGAAAGGAGACCUCUCCAACUCUGGCAAACAUUGCUUUGACUGCAAAGGGCAUGUGUGCCUGGUUGCAUGCACUCCUCAGUAAAAUUUGUCUGUCUCGAUGUACCUCACUCUGAAAAUGAGCUUUUGUAAUAUAUGUUUUCAGCCACAGCUUUGGCAGAGAGAAAGGAAUGUUUAAAGUAUUCUGUUUUUUUCAAGCUAUCUGGCUAAUCUGUGCAGGCUUCUCCUCACUUUGGGUCUGACAGAGAACAUCUGUCAGUGAUAUCAGUAGGUUUAAAACCCUCUCAUUUCAGAAUGUAUGGAAGUGUUGUGCCCCCCCCCCCCCCGCUGUUCUUCACUGUUCUCUUCCAGCCAGGUCGGCUCUUGUUGGCCACCUGGACAGAAAUUAGCAUUCAUUAAAAUUAAAGCUCCUCUUUACAAGGAACUCCGACUGUCAGAAAACCAGCUUGAGAAACGUGUCAUUUCCUGUGCUUGCUCACAGUCCACCUGCAUGUGCCUGCCGGCCUUGUGUAGCAAUAUUUUGCUGCACCUUGUGAUGUUGUCUCUCCCUCUCAUUCCAUUUUUUUUGGAGGCGGGGGGAAGGAAAAGCAAAAACCGAAUUGGGGUUGUUGGGUUGCAAAAACAAAUAUACGUGUGUGUUGAACUGGCUUUUAAAAUGCAGGUGAGAGUUUUGGGCAUCUCUGAAACUGCUGCUCAGCUGAUACUUCAAGAGAUGUGAACUCCCAUGUGAACUUUGAACUCAAUAUAUUGAGGUUUCAAUAUGCUGUGGAAGCACGGGCCUCUAACUUUGGACACAGUUUGUCAGACGUCCCAACCCCUGUGUUGGGCUACAACUUCCAGCUGCCUGGCAAGAGAUGUUUGGGGUAGCAGCCAGCACAUCUAGCGCUGCCUCCAGGCUGGUUUUCUGUGGCGGGGUUAAGUCACCAGAGUUGGUAAUCCCUUUUGCACCUCUACUUUGCUUUUCUGUGCCCAGCUUUACCCCAUUGACUUGUUUGCAUUUCAUGGGACAGGACUUUCUUUGGGCGCUCGAGGUUUCUCCCCGGCCUUCUCCGGAGUACCAGAGCUGGGAAUCCCAUGCCACAGACAAAAGUUCAGUGCCUGGAACGUUCCCUGCGAUACUCAGAAUGAGGAGUUGCAACCUUCGGAGCAGUCAGAAAAUGCUUCUUGGAAUGGGUUCAUACGGCUGGCACCAGGGAAUGAAAGAUUUUUUUCCCCUUGAUUUCAGUCUGUCCUGACCAGAAUCUUACAUAUAUUUGACGCUUUAGGAUAUUGUAUGCAUUGCAAACAUGCAAUCUUGCCAGCCCUUUCUGGAGAGAACCCAGUAUACGUCCAUCCCAUUGAAAUGAGAGAGUUCUAAAUUACCUCCUGCCCUUGAACCCCUUUCCCAGUUGGCAAUAUUGUGGUAUGGCACACACGUAAACUACCAGAGCUUUUUAAAAGGCUGAGCGUCAAGUUAGUUUCACUUUACUUGCAGCACUGUGCUUUCUAAAUUCGUAAAUUCAGGCCGGUACAAAUUUCCUAACCCUUUCUAGAAGACCGGCUUUAUACCUUUUAAUCACAGGAAGGCAUUUAUGUGAUACUGGCCAUGGGCUAACAUUGCAUUUUUUUUGCACUGCAGUUUCCCAGAAGAUGGGAUGUCUCAAGUUGGAUACGGGAAAGGUUAGCAGCCUAGGCAAUGCUUGUGAGGAGCUCUUCUGUGGCCUCGUGCAGCUGCUUUUUAUUCUUGUUGCUGUAGUUUUUUAGCUUCCCCGGGACUGGAAACCAUGAAGGAAGGUGGCUUGUAGGCCCAGGUGUUGGUUUGAGGGAAUCUUAGCUGUUGCUGCUGCUAUACUGGCAUUUUUAAUAGCUUCAUGAUAGGUCACAAAUUUUCAGACGCCUCUCGCUCCCCACCAAGCAGAGGGGACGCAGCGUGGAAAAGCUUCGGCCUGUGGAAAGGUUCUGCCUCGCACAGAAGUUUUGAAGGCGCUGGAGCCCGGCUCCUACGUCCUGAGUUGUCUGUCCUUGCCUUUGAGGAGCGGCUAUGCACACAAAGGCAGGGAAGGGGGCUGCUUGGGGGGCGGGAGCAGCAUUCCCAUGAAUCCCAUAGGAUGGCUCCGAGACCUUGCUUUGGCGCUUGCGAUCGUGGCGGUGCGGUCCAGACAGGGGCUUGGAGCAAGGAACAAGGUUUCGGCCCUUUUCAGGUGUACAGCAGGGGAAAGAUGAAAGCACACACCAGAGGGGAAAAUCCAGGUGAAGGAAAUGUCUCAAUGUAGAGCCUGCCUAUGCUGGCUGGGGCCUGGGUGAUGGGAGUUGUAGUCCAACUCAUCUGGAGGGUGCCAUGUUGGAGAAGCCGAGUUUAAUGUUUGUAAAGAAGAGGCCGAAGAGAAUGUGGAGGCUUUUAAUCACUAUGUCGUUUUCCAGGUUUGCUAUACGCAAGUGAGAAGGCAGUUUCCACCACUUCCUGGGAAAUGAAAUUCUUCUUUUUUUAAUCCGGGGUAAAGCACUAAUGAGAGCCAUUCAUGCCUAUUUUUUUAAACAGUAUUGUGUAUUGGUUUGUCUGUAGUUCUGACUGUCAUUAUUAUUAUGGAGCCAUCUGCAUGGUUAAGAGCUUUUAGAGGAGUUGAAACAAACAUUCAGCUUAAAUUUCAUUGAUGGCAAAAUGGCUAUUUGAAUCGGAAGGUGGAAUUGGAAGCAUACAAGCCUUAUAAGAAAUAGCCUUAAAAUUAAGAAUGGAGUGUAAAAAAGAAGCAACAAAGAAUUUAAAUUCAGCUUUAAGUUGUAUGAAAUAUCCUUUUUUUAAAAAAUCAAGUCUUUAUGGAGUAAUUGUAGAAGAGGUGAGUACAAGAGAAGGCAGAUAAAUAUAAGUGUUGUAGACCACCAACCUGGUUUUUACUUUAUUUUAUUUUCAAAUGAAACUUGAAUUAAUUUAAGAUGUCUGGUUCCGUUUAAUGAAUUGUCUGAUCUUGCACAGUGGUAGGUGUAACCUAAUGGUAAAUGGUACCAAUUGAUGUGUAUAUAUAAUGUUUUGCUCUCUUUGUAAAUGAGGAAAAUGUAUGUAACAAAAUCAUAGGGGAAAGGUUUUCCUAUUUGGAGUUUAAUACCAGGUAUGAGGUUUAUGGCAAUAUGCUAGAUAAUGAAAUUUCAGGUUGAAUUUGUCUUUAAAUUGUGUAAAUUUUAAAACUGUAAUAUUUCUACUGUACAUUGAUCAUGACUAGUGUGAUUCAAGACUGCUUGUAAUUUAAAGAACCUUAUUUAAUAUUCAAAAUAAAAUAAAGGUAUAUAUUUAUAA